rnacentral:rRNA from 1 species
AUGCUUUACACAUGCAAGUCSAACGGCAGCACGGGGGCAACCCUGGUGGCGAGUGGCGAACGGGUGAGUAAUAUAUCGGAACGUACCCGGAAAUGGGGGAUAACGUAGCGAAAGUUGCGCUAAUACCGCAUAUGCCCUGRGGGGGAAAGCGGGGGAUCCGCAAGGACCUCGCGUUUUCGGAGCGGCCGAUAUCGGAUUAGCUAGUAGGUGGGGUAAAGGCUCACCUAGGCGACGAUCCGUAGCUGGUCUGAGAGGACGACCAGCCACACUGGAACUGAGACACGGUCCAGACUCCUACGGGAGGCAGCAGUGGGGAAUUUUGGACAAUGGGCGAAAGCCUGAUCCAGCCAUGCCGCGUGAGUGAAGAAGGCKUUCGGGUUGUAAAGCUCUUUCAGCCGGAAAGAAAGCGCAUGGGUGAAUAACCUGUGUGGAUGACGGUACCGGAAGAAGAAGCACCGGCUAACUACGUGCCAGCAGCCGCGGUAAUACGUAGGGUGCGAGCGUUAAUCGGAAUUACUGGGCGUAAAGCGUGCGCAGGCGGUUUUGUAAGACAGAUGUGAAAUCCCCGGGCUUAACCUGGGAACUGCAUUUGUGACUGCAAGGCUAGAGUACGGCAGAGGGGGGUAGAAUUCCACGUGUAGCAGUGAAAUGCGUAGAUAUGUGGAGGAAUACCGAUGGCGAAGGCAGCCCCCUGGGUCGAUACUGACGCUCAUGCACGAAAGCGUGGGGAGCAAACAGGAUUAGAUACCCUGGUAGUCCACGCCYCUAAACGAUGUCAACUAGGUGUUGGGGGGGGGAGACUUYCUUWAGUACCGCAGCUAACGCGUGAAGUUGACCGCCUGGGGAGUACGGUCGCWAGAUUAAAACUCAAGGGAUUUGACGGGGACCCKGCACAAGCGGUGGAUUAUGKKGAUUAAUUCGAUG